rnacentral:rRNA from 1 species
GCGGUGGAGCAUGUGGUUAAUUCGACGCAACGCGAAGAACCUUACCAGGGCUUGACAUCCCCUGACCGCGUAUGAAAGUACGUUUUCACCCUCGGGUGACAGGGAGACAGGUGGUGCAUGGUUGUCGUCAGCUCGUGUCGUGAGAUGUUGGGUUAAGUCCCGCAACGAGCGCAACCCCUACGUUUAGUUGCUAACAGGUGAAGCUGAGCACUCUAGACGAACUGCCGUUGACAAAACGGAGGAAGGUGGGGAUGACGUCAAAUCAUCAUGCCCCUUAUGUUCUGGGCUACACACGUGCUACAAUGGCCGGUACAGACGGAGGCGAAGCCGCGAGGCGGAGCAAAACCGAAAAAGCCGGUCUCAGUUCGGAUUGCAGGCUGCAAUUCGCCUGCAUGAAGUCGGAAUCGCUAGUAAUCGCAGGUCAGCAUACUGCGGUGAAUACGUUCCCGGGCCUU